UACGUAGGGUGCAAGCGUUGUCCGGAAUUAUUGGGCGUAAAGAGCUCGUAGGCGGUCUGUCGCGUCGGAUGUGAAAAUCCAGGGCUCAACCCUGGACCUGCAUUCGAUACGGGCAGACUAGAGUUCGGUAGGGGGGACUGGAAUUCCUGGUGUAGCGGUGAAAUGCGCAGAUAUCAGGAGGAACACCGGUGGCGAAGGCGGGUCUCUGGGCAGAAACUGACGCUGAGGAGCGAAAGCGUGGGGAGCAAACAGG
rnacentral:rRNA from 1 species